rnacentral:rRNA from 1 species
AGAGUUUGAUCCUGGCUCAGAUUGAACGCUGGCGGCAUGCUUUACACAUGCAAGUCGAACGGCAGCACAGGGAGCUUGCUCCCGGGUGGCGAGUGGCGCACGGGUGAGUAAUACAUCGGAACGUGUCCUGUUGUGGGGGAUAACUGCUCGAAAGGGUGGCUAAUACCGCAUGAGACCUGAGGGUGAAAGCGGGGGAUCGCAAGACCUCGCGCAAUUGGAGCGGCCGAUGCCCGAUUAGCUAGUUGGUGAGGUAAAGGCUCACCAAGGCGACGAUCGGUAGCUGGUCUGAGAGGACGACCAGCCACACUGGGACUGAGACACGGCCCAGACUCCUACGGGAGGCAGCAGUGGGGAAUUUUGGACAAUGGGGGCAACCCUGAUCCAGCCAUGCCGCGUGCAGGAUGAAGGCCUUCGGGUUGUAAACUGCUUUUGUCAGGGACGAAAAGGACCGUGUUAAUACCAUGGUCUGCUGACGGUACCUGAAGAAUAAGCACCGGCUAACUACGUGCCAGCAGCCGCGGUAAUACGUAGGGUGCAAGCGUUAUCCGGAAUUAUUGGGCGUAAAGGGCUCGUAGGCGGUUCGUCGCGUCCGGUGUGAAAGUCCAUCGCUUAACGGUGGAUCCGCGCCGGGUACGGGCGGGCUUGAGUGCGGUAGGGGAGACUGGAAUUCCCGGUGUAACGGUGGAAUGUGUAGAUAUCGGGAAGAACACCAAUGGCGAAGGCAGGUCUCUGGGCCGUCACUGACGCUGAGGAGCGAAAGCGUGGGGAGCGAACAGGAUUAGAUACCCUGGUAGUCCACGCCGUAAACGAUGAGUGCUAGGUGUUGGAUCCUUUCCGGGAUUCAGUGCCGCAGCUAACGCAUUAAGCA